GAGAGAGGAAGAGGAGAGGAAGAGGAAGAGGAGCACCAGGAGAGAGCAAACCAUAGUGAAAAAGACACUGUCCUCGUCCUCGCAACAGAGAGAAAUGAUGAAUGAGAAAAUGGCGGGGGAGUCCACCACUGUCCCACUCAAACCAGUUUCAUGACUUUCUAAUCUAGAUCUACCAACAAGCAGCGGGAGGUGCCUGACUGCACAGCAGGUUCUGAUGAAAUGGAGGGUUUUUAAAACCAGACAGUCUGCACAUCCACCGCUUAACCAACUUGUCCCCUCGGGCAAGUCGUUUAAUCUCUCAGAGCCCCACGUAAAAAAGGAAACAAUAAUAGAACAGUUUUUUUAAAGCUGC
rnacentral:lncRNA from 1 species